rnacentral:rRNA from 1 species
AUUGAACGCUGGCGGCAGGCCUAACACAUGCAAGUCGAACGAGUGGCGGACGGGUGAGUAUUGUCUGGGAAACGGCCCGAUGGAGGGGGAUAACUACUGGAAACGGUAGCUAAUACCGCAUACCAUCGGAGGUGCCCAGAUGGGAUUAGCUAGUAGGUGGGGUAACGUCUCACAGAGGCGACGAUCCCUAGCUGGUCUGAGAGGGUGACCAGCCACACUGGAACUGAGACACGGUCCAGACUCCUACGGGAGGCAGCAGUGGGGAAUAUUGCACAAUGGGCGCAAGCCUGAUGCAGCCAUGCCGCGUGUAUGAAGAAGGCCUUCGGGUUGUAAAGUACUUUCAGCGAGGAGGCGUUACUCGCAGAAGAAGCACCGGCUAACUCCGUGCCAACAGCCGCGGUAAUUC